rnacentral:rRNA from 1 species
UACGUAGGGGGCUAGCGUUGUCCGGAAUCAUUGGGCGUAAAGAGCGUGUAGGCGGUCCGGUAAGUCCGCUGUGAAAGUCGGGGGCUCAACCCUCGAAUGCCGGUGGAUACUGGUGGGCUCGAAUCCGGGAGAGGGAUGUGGAAUUCCAGGUGUAGCGGUGAAAUGCGUAGAUAUCUGGAGGAACACCGGUGGCGAAGGCGGCAUCCUGGACCGGCAUUGACGCUGAGGCGCGAAAGCCAGGGGAGCGAACGGG